CAGUCGCCGCGGGAAUACGUAGGUGGCAAGCGUUGUCCGGAAUUAUUGGGCGUAAAGGGCUCGCAGGCGGUUUCUUAAGUCUGAUGUGAAAGCCCCCGGCUCAACCGGGGAGGGUCAUUGGAAACUGGGAAACUUGAGUGCAGAAGAGGAGAGUGGAAUUCCACGUGUAGCGGUGAAAUGCGUAGAGAUGUGGAGGAACACCAGUGGCGAAGGCGACUCUCUGGUCUGUAACUGACGCUGAGGAGCGAAAGCGUGGGGAGCGAACAAGAUUAGAGACCCCCGUAGUCCCUGUCUCUUAUAC
rnacentral:rRNA from 1 species